UUAAAUUCGAUGAAAAAGACAGUAAUUUACAAUUGUUUUGGUAAGCGAGCUGGGGAUUGGUGAGAGCCUGGUGCAAAAUAUGUAAAUGAAGCGCACUUUGGAGAAGCAGUCUGAACAUAAGUAGGACCUGCCGGGGAGUCACCUCGUUAUUAAUGGAAAGUGGUCACAAUUUGUGGCAACUAGAGUGGUACCACGGGAAUUCGAAGCUCUCGUCUCUAUU
rnacentral:ncRNA from 1 species